CACGUAGGGCGCAAGCGUUGUCCGGAAUUAUUGGGCGUAAAGAGCUCGUAGGCGGUCUGUUGCGUCCGCUGUGAAAACUCGGGGCUUAACCCCGAGCCUGCAGUGGAUACGGGCAGACUAGAGGUAGGUAGGGGAGAAUGGAAUUCCCGGUGUAGCGGUGAAAUGCGCAGAUAUCGGGAGGAACACCGGUGGCGAAGGCGACAUCCUGGACCGGUAUUGACGCUGAGGCGCGAAAGCCAGGGGAGCAAACGGG
rnacentral:rRNA from 1 species